rnacentral:rRNA from 1 species
GUCUAUGGCCAUCCCAACCCAAAUGCACCCGAUCACUACUGAUCUUGGAAUCUAAGUAUGACAAAGCCUGGUUAGUAUUUGGAAGAGAGUAGCAACUCAUGUGCUGAGGUGCUGCAGGCG